rnacentral:snRNA from 2 species
GUGUUCAGCAUUACAUACACUAAAAUUGAAAUGAUACAGAAAAGAUUAGCAUGGCCCCUAAGCAAGGAUGACAUGCAAAUUUGUGAAGCAUUAUAUUUAUAU